rnacentral:misc_RNA from 1 species
GAUGAAGAACGCAGCGAAAUGCGAUAAGUAGUGUGAAUUGCAGAAUUCCGUGAAUCAUCGAAUCUUUGAACGCACAUUGCGCCCCUUGGUAUUCCGAGGGGCAUGCCUGUUCGAGCGUCAUUUAAACCAAUCUAGCUUGCUAGGUCUUGGGCUUUCGCCUCUGGGCGGGCCUCAAAAUCAGUGGCGGUGCUGCCGGGCUUUAAGCGUAGUAAUCUUUCUCGCUAUAGGGUCCUGGUAGAGGCUUGCCAACAACUAUAAAUCUUUCAAAGGUUGACCUCGGAUCAGGUAGGGAUACCCGCUGAACUUAAGCAUAUCAAUAAGCGGAGGA